UUCUUCCUUUCUUCGAAACACACCCUCCUCUUCUUUGAAACAAUGCCUUAAAAGCGAAAACCCUAACACAGAGCUCAUCACCCUAACGGCGGCGGCGCUCUUCACUUAACAUAGAGCUCAUCGCCGGUGCUCUCACUCUCUCCCCCCAAUAACAUUCGUUGGUCAACCUCGUUCCAACCCUCUCUAGCAACCCCUCCGUAGGUGCCACCUCUGCCGGUGUUCCCUGCGUCGGCGCUCCUUCCGUCUCUCCUGUAAACACCUAUCCCUCCUUCGGCGGUGACUCACUCUGGUAAGGCCUCCCUCGGCGCUCACUCUCUAUCGCAAACCCUCCGUCGACGCUCACUCUCUCUCGCAAACCCUCAAUCGUCACUCCUCCCUCCAUGGUUCAGCACCCGCCGCGUUGCCGUCUCCCUCUCUGAAGUCGUCACGCCGCCGUCUCCAUCUCCUUCACUCGUCGCACCUCCGUCAGCCACGUUAAGCGUUCGCAGCACCGUGCUGUGGUAGUGCUCAGCUGCUGCUAUGUGAUGCUGAACUACUGCUUUGCCUGUUCUGUUAUUCUAGUUUUUCUACAUCAACUAGCAGGGACUCCUACUGGGAGAAAAAGUCUAAGGCUGCUGGUCUUAGGGCAACUGCAAACCAUUUGCGUGAUUUGAAUCCUGAGGAUGCGCACGAAAUUCUUAGGCAAGCUGCUGAAAUUUUUGAAGGAAUAGGAAUAAUUAAUAUUGCAGCUCAAUGUUUUUCAGAUUUGGGGGAUCAUGAAAAAGCUGAUAUAAAUUUGAAGUUUAGCUUCUAUAUCUAUGCUCGUCAUCUGUUAUUAGUUACUUCUCCACAUUUUUUUCUCUUCUGUUAUCGAAGUCCGAUGAAGAAAUCAAUGUAAAUAGAAAACUAGCUAAGGAAUUGGUUGACAAAUGGGUAAUUAAUCUGUGAAACUCUUGCUUCAGCAUGUAUCAUUUAUCUUUCCUUAAAAAUUAUACUGAUUCUUGAAUACAUUAUAAUAGUAUGCAUUUUCUUUUUUUACAAGCUAUCCAUUUUCAUCCAGGAGUAGUUUUCUUUUUUGGGGACAGAUACUUAAAAAAGCACAUCAUUUUUGCUUUAUAAUUGCAUAGCCGACCCAUAUUUAAUAAGAGUACACAGUUUGAGGACAUGAGAAAUGCUGAGAACGACAGGAUUUCUUUCAGGAGGCCAACUGUUAAAAAGUGCUCAACCAUUCUGAUUUAAAUUGCUUGUCUUAAGCAAUAUUUGUCUUAUGUAUUGCAAUAUGCUGAAUUUCUACAGGCCAGCAAAUAAAGCAGCAGGGAUAGAAUAUAAAGAUGGUGAUCUUGAUUUGGAAUUUCCACAGCCUAGGUCUGGACAGCCUUCUUCAAGGCAACAUGCAUCAAGGCCAGAAGCAACACCUUUGGGUUUUGUGAUCCGUCCCUAGUCUAAAAUUGAUCCAAAAGAAGUUAGAGUGCGAGCAAAAGCUGCUGCACAAGAUCAGCAGAGAAUGAAGCCUUUCCCAGUUGAGCAAGCAAAAAUUCUAUCACUCUCGCAUAUACCAGCCAAUGGAACUUGAAGAAGUUCUAUCAGAAGGAGAUAGUGAUGAUGAAGUUGAUGAUGAAGUUGCUGAUUUGAAGAGCUAAGGAGGCUUGGUAAUUUUGACAAUGUGACCAAUGCUGAGAAGAAAUUCAUGCAUAUGUAGAACUCAUUUAUUCGAAAGCAAUGGUAAGUUCUUUUCAUUUUGACUCUAUUCGCUCUCUGUUCGUUGCGUCAUCCUUGUUUUGAUAAAGGGGCAAAACAUAAAAAAGAUGUAAUCAAUUUCAAGACUGAGACUUUCAUAAAUUGUGAGCAUAAUAACCAGCAACAUGCAUCAGCCAUGUAUCUUGUGUUUACAGGGCUGUUUUAGCUUGGCUUUCUAUUAUUGCGCACCGCAACAAAGACAAGAAGGCAGGGGGAAAACUGAUCACUGUGGCUGAUGUUGUAAAGGAACACUGGACAACUUAUAGAAGAAAUUUUUUUUAGAUAUGACUAUGAGGAAUGUGAACAGGAAUGUGAAUCUGAAGGUGCCAAUAAAAUGGUAGCAUACCUACGAGAGACUGCAUCAAAGAGCAAGACUGGUGAUAAGUUCUAAUGAUAAUUUUGAUAGUUCUAAUGAUCUCCUAAGUUCUAAUGAUGAACUUAUUUUGUCCUAAUUUAAUUAUUAGUUUUGUUAAAGUAUUGUAAUUUUUUAAUUACAAUUUUAGCAUAUAAAUAAUUCAUGUAAAUCAAUAA